rnacentral:misc_RNA from 1 species
AAGUCGUAACAAGGUUUCCGUAGGUGAACCUGCGGAAGGAUCAUUAAUGAUUUUUAAGGCGAGUCGAGCGGUAAAGCGAGGCUUGCGAAAAUAUUUAAAACCCCACUCUUUAACUAAAAAAUAAAUCAUGAUACAUGAAUUUAAAAAAAAGAUCACUUUCAACAACGGAUCUCUUGGCUCUC